GGGAAAGAUUUCCUUUUGGCAGAAGUACUAGAGGAAUGUCAUUAUUCAAUAAGUUUAUUGGCAUGGUUUCUCUCAUGGAAAUUCCAUUGCAAAACGGAAGGUUCACUUGGUCUAGAGACGGUAAUUCUCCUUGAAGAUCAUUAUUAGACAGAUUCUUCAUAAAUCAGAUGUGGGAUGUUUGUUUUGAAAAUUCUCGGGUUUCUCGAAAAGCACGCAUCUUCUCGGAUCACUUUCCUUUAUUCUUGGAG
rnacentral:lncRNA from 1 species